rnacentral:lncRNA from 1 species
UUGCAUUUUUUGUCAUUUACGUUUUAGUGACUGAUUUUGCAGGCGGUGUCUAAGUUUAAAAAGUACAUUGGCUGUCCUUUACGUUUAGACAUUAUUGCAAACAGUAUCCUUUUCACAAAACCCAAUUAGAAAUCCUAGUUAAAUCCGUGCUAAUCACGUGAGGGUACUAUCAUCUUUUCCACGACCCCUUUAAUGGAUUCGUUAUUUUAUAAAGUCUUCUUUUCCUGUUAAUCUCAAAACUAGAGUUCCACCACUAAACACAAUUAAAUUUUAGAGCAAAAAAUCGAUAGUGAAGAAGAUGGUUAUGUGCUGGUGUGGGAAGGAAGCAUUGCUUCGUACAUCAUGGACAGGCCGUAACCCAGGUAGCAAAUUAUGUUUUUUUUAUUGGAGGGAUGCAUAAAUGUGCAAUCAUGCUAGAGAUCUCAUCCUAGUCUGCUUAGGGGCAGGAACAGCCCGGAGGAACAAUUAAGGGAGAGGGUUGAUGAAGCAAAGAAGUGGAAGAAGUACGUGAUUGCUAGUUGGGUGGUGUUCGCAACAGUGCUUGUUAUGUUUAUGAUCUAAGCUUAGUGGUAGUCAUUUAUGGUAGACUUUUUUUGGUAGUAUGAUGUAUGGUAGUCUAAUGGAUUCCCUGUAAUAUGCAUUAUGAAUGCACCUUUUGUAAAAUUCUAUUAAGGGAGGUGAUGUGUCGGAGCGUGUACUGAUUUU